UCGGUACUCCCUCCGUCUGAAAAUACUUGUCAUCAAAAUGAAUAAAAAAGGAUGUGUCUAGAACUAAAAUACAUCUAGAUACAUCUUAUUUUAUUUAUUUUGAUGACAAGUAUUUUCAGACGAAGAGAGUAUAAG
rfam:Triticum urartu cultivar G1812 contig295952, whole genome shotgun sequence.